rnacentral:rRNA from 1 species
GACGAACGCUGGCGGCGUGCCUAAUACAUGCAAGUAGAACGCACAGUUUAUACCGUAGCUUGCUACACCAUAAACUGUGAGUUGCGAACGGGUGAGUAACGCGUAGGUAACCUGACUGGUAGCGGGGGAUAACUAUUGGAAACGAUAGCUAAUACCUCAUAAUAUUGAUUAUUGCAUGAUAAUUGAUUGAAAGAUGCUAUUGCAUCACUACCAGAUGGACCUGCGUUGUAUUAGCUAGUAGGUGAGGUAACGGCUCACCUAGGCGACGAUACAUAGCCGACCUGAGAGGGUUAUCGGCCACCCUGGGACUGAAACACGGCCCAGACUCCCACGGGAGGCAGCAGUAAGGGAUCUUCGGAAAUGGACGAAAGGCUGAACGAGCAACGCCGCGGGAGUGAAGGAGGUUUUCGGAUCGUAAAGCUCUGUUGUAAGAGAAGAACGGGUGUGAGAGUGGAAAGUUCACACUGUGACGGUAUCUUACCAGAAAGGGACGGCUAACUACGUG